rnacentral:rRNA from 1 species
AAAUGAUGCAGAGGGGGCUUAGUGGUGGUGUGACUGCGUACCUUUUGUAUAAUGGGUCAGCGACUUAUAUUCUGUAGCAAGGUUAACCGAAUAGGGGAGCCGGAGGGAAACCGAGUCUUAAUUGGGCGUUAAGUUGCAGGGUAUAGACCCGAAACCCGGUGAUCUAGCCAUGGGCAGGUUGAAGGUUGGGUAACACUAACUGGAGGACCGAACCGACUAAUGUUGAAAAAUUAGCGGAUGACCUGUGGCUGGGGGUGAAAGGCCAAUCAAACCGGGAGAUAGCUGGUUCUCCCCGAAAGCUAUUUAGGUAGCGCCUCGUGAAUUCAUCUCCGGGGGUAGAGCACUGUUUCGGCUAGGGGGCCAUCCCGGCUUACCAACCCGAUGCAAACUGCGAAUACCGGAGAAUGUUAUCACGGGAGACACACGGCGGGUGCUAACGUCCGUCGUGAAGAGGGAAACAACCCAGACCGCCAGCUAAGGUCCCAAAGUCAUGGUUAAGUGGGAAACGAUGUGGGAAGGCCCAGACAGCCAGGAUGUUGGCUUAGAAGCAGCCAUCAUUUAAAGAAAGCGUAAUAGCUCACUGGUCGAGUCGGCCUGCGCGGAAGAUGUAACGGGGCUAAACCAUGCACCGAAGCUGCGGCAGCGACGCUGCUGGAGGUAUCAGAAGUGCGAAUGCUGACAUAAGUAACGAUAAAGCGGGUGAAAAGCCCGCUCGCCGGAAGACCAAGGGUUCCUGUCCAACGUUAAUCGGGGCAGGGUGAGUCGACCCCUAAGGCGAGGCCGAAAGGCGUAGUCGAUGGGAAACGGGUUAAUAUUCCCGUACUUGGUGUUACUGCGAAGGGGGGACGGAGAAGGCUAUGUUGGCCGGGCGACGGUUGUCCCGGUUUAAGCGUGUAGGUGUGUGUUCCAGGUAAAUCCGGUUCACUUUAACACUGAGGCGUGANNAUCGUACCCCAAACCGACACAGGUGGUCAGGUAGAGAAUACCAAGGCGCUUGAGAGAACUCGGGUGAAGGAACUAGGCAAAAUGGUGCCGUAACUUCGGGAGAAGGCACGCUGACAUGUAGGUGAAGUGAUUUACUCAUGGAGCUGAAGUCAGUCGAAGAUACCAGCUGGCUGCAACUGUUUAUUAAAAACACAGCACUGUGCAAACACGAAAGUGGACGUAUACGGUGUGACGCCUGCCCGGUGCCGGAAGGUUAAUUGAUGGGGUCAGCGCAAGCGAAGCUCCUGAUCGAAGCCCCGGUAAACGGCGGCCGUAACUAUAACGGUCCUAAGGUAGCGAAAUUCCUUGUCGGGUAAGUUCCGACCUGCACGAAUGGCGUAAUGAUGGCCAGGCUGUCUCCACCCGAGACUCAGUGAAAUUGAACUCGCUGUGAAGAUGCAGUGUACCCGCGGCAAGACGGAAAGACCCCGUGAACCUUUACUAUAGCUUGACACUGAACAUUGAGCCUUGAUGUGUAGGAUAGGUGGGAGGCUUUGAAGUGUGGACGCCAGUCUGCAUGGAGCCGACCUUGAAAUACCACCCUUUAAUGUUUGAUGUUCUAACGUGGACCCGUAAUCCGGGUUGCGGACAGUGUCUGGUGGGUAGUUUGACUGGGGCGGUCUCCUCCUAAAGAGUAACGGAGGAGCACGAAGGUUGGCUAAUCCUGGUCGGACAUCAGGAGGUUAGUGCAAUGGCAUAAGCCAGCUUGACUGCGAGCGUGACGGCGCGAGCAGGUGCGAAAGCAGGUCAUAGUGAUCCGGUGGUUCUGAAUGGAAGGGCCAUCGCUCAACGGAUAAAAGGUACUCCGGGGAUAACAGGCUGAUACCGCCCAAGAGUUCAUAUCGACGGCGGUGUUUGGCACCUCGAUGUCGGCUCAUCACAUCCUGGGGCUGAAGUAGGUCCCAAGGGUAUGGCUGUUCGCCAUUUAAAGUGGUACGCGAGCUGGGUUUAGAACGUCGUGAGACAGUUCGGUCCCUAUCUGCCGUGGGCGCUGGAGAACUGAGGGGGGCUGCUCCUAGUACGAGAGGACCGGAGUGGACGCAUCACUGGUGUUCGGGUUGUCAUGCCAAUGGCACUGCCCGGUAGCUAAAUGCGGAAGAGAUAAGUGCUGAAAGCAUCUAAGCACGAAACUUGCCCCGAGAUGAGUUCUCCCUGAGACUUUAGGUCUCCUGAAGGAACGUUGAAGACGACGACGUUGAUAGGCCGGGUGUGUAAGCGCAGCGAUGCGUUGAGCUAACCGGUACUAAUGAACCGUGA